CAUUAGUUAAUAGCCAGCAAGACGUGACUUUGUUUUUCCAACAUGGGAACCUAGAAAGGAAACAGAUACCAAACAAGUCUGCUCUUCAAGAUUCGUAAAUUCCCCGAAACUGUCUCCAUGGAGUCUGUUUAGCUGAUUGGAGAGCAAGCAUCCGAAGCUCGUGGAUGCACGACGAUGACGUCUGUUUAGUUUGAUAAGACAUUUUAUUGCCGUGAGACAGGCGCUGUUUGAAAGCAAUCCAGCCAGCUCCUGCUUUCCCUCGGCCUUGAUGUGAUCAUGUUGCCUGGUAACGGCCCAAAGAGCGACGAGGAAAGAGGAGGAUGUGUUGCGGUGCUUCCCGUGUGAUGAUGAUGAUGAUGAUGAUGGUGGCGGCGUUUGCAUCAUCUGCAGGAUGAU